AGAAAGCAGGCAGUCAGAAAGCUGGUGCUAUAGGGCUAUAGGGACUGGCAUAUAUCCGCCCUGCCGUCUACACUGUGCAGCUAAGGUUCCAGUUCUCUGAGCACUGAGCGCUGCUCUUUUGCAGCCUGUGUAUGUGUUUGCAUGAGAGAGAGAGAAAGCUGUCUAACAUGUAGUUCUGUAAUGGGAGAGAGAAUCUACGGUCAGCUCUCCCCACCCCGGGGCAAUUCAGAUCACCUGGGAGAGGCGAGCUGUCACAAGGGGGCCGAUGCUUGAAGAGGUCUGAACACUUUGCCGAUCUUUGCGCCCAGUCCUGAUUACACUGAAAUCAGCUGAAAAGAAAUGAGCUAACGGGAGAGAAAAGGAAGAGAGGGAGAGAGAGAGGCCAGAGAAAGAGGAGAUUUCAGAGGAGUGGUGAAUAACAUUACUUCACUGUUGAAACUCACCAAAGAUAACACUUGGAUUUUACAUCUGAGGUAACACCUCAACCAUCCUUUGUCCCUGUAGAAUUUACAUUGUUGCUGCUCCAACAAAUGAUGCUGAAACCUUUAUGGUUCAGAGGAGAUAUUGCUUCUUGUGGGGUGUCCAGAACUAGGUGCACUG